rnacentral:rRNA from 1 species
UUGACCUCGGAUCAGGUAGGGAUACCCGCUGAACUUAAGCAUAUCAAUAAGCGGAGGAAAAGAAACCAACAGGGAUUGCCUCAGUAACGGCGAGUGAAGCGGCAACAGCUCAAAUUUGAAAUCUGGCUCCUUCGGGGUCCGAAUUGUAAUUUGUAGAGAGUGCUUCGGGCGAGACCUCGGUCUAAGUCCAUUGGAACAUGGUGUCAUAGAGGGUGAGAAUCCCGUAUGCGACCGUGGCUCGAGCCCAUGUGAAGCCUCUUCGACGAGUCGAGUUGUUUGGGAAUGCAGCUCAAAAUGGGUGGUAAAUUUCAUCUAAAGCUAAAUACUGGCUGGAGACCGAUAGCGCACAAGUAGAGUGAUCGAAAGAUGAAAAGCACUUUGGAAAGAGAGUCAAACAGUACGUGAAAUUGUUGAAAGGGAAGCGCUUGCAACCAGACCUGCCCGUAGGCGAUCCGCCGCUGUUCUCAGCGGUGUACUCGCUCUGCGAUCAGGCCAGCAUCGGUUUCGGCGGUCGGAUAAAGGCCUUGGGAAUGUAGCUUCCCCUCGGGGGAGUCUUAUAGCCCUCGGUGUAAUGCGGCCAGCUGGGACCGAGGACCGCGCUUCGGCUAGGAUGCUGGCGUAAUGGUUGUAAGCGACCCGUCUUGAAACACGGACCAAGGAGUCUAACAUCUAUGCGAGUGUUUGGGUGUCAAACCCAUACGCGAAAUGAAAGUGAACGGAGGUGAGAACCCUUAAGGGCGCAUCAUCGACCGAUCCAGAUGUCUUCGGAUGGAUUUGAGUAUGAGCAUAGCUGUUGGGACCCGAAAGAUGGUGAACUAUGCCUGAAUAGGGUGAAGCCAGAGGAAACUCUGGUGGAGGCUCGCAGCGGUUCUGACGUGCAAAUCGAUCGUCAAAUUUGGG